AAAGGACCCCAAUAGCCACGUCAAAGACACUACUGCCUGGGCCCUUGGACGUAUCUUCGAAUUCCUUCUUGGUUCGGCUGUAGAUUUGCCUAUUAUCACUCAGGCAAAUUGCCAACAGAUAGUCACAGUUCUGCUACAGAGUAUGAAGGACACUCCAAAUGUUGCUGAGAAAGCCUGUGGUGCUCUCUAUUUUCUUGCUCAAGGUUACGAGGGUGAAGGUGAACCAUCUCCUUUAACUCCUUUUUUCCAGGAAAUUGUCCAGUCCCUCCUCACUGUCACUCACCGAGAAGAUGUUGGGGACUCCCGGCUGAGGACUGCUGCCUAUGAAACUUUGAAUGAGGUGGUGAGAUGCUCAACCGUUGAGACAGCUCCAUUGGUAUUGCAAUUGGUGGCUGUCAUCAUGAUGGAACUUCAUAACACCCUUGAGAGCCAGAAACUCUCAUCUGAAGAAAGAGAAAAGCAGAGUGAACUGCAAGGCCUUCUUUGUGGUUGUUUACAAGUCAUUAUUCAGAAGCUUGGUUCAUCAGAGACAACCAAGUACGCAUUCAUGCAGUAUGCAGAUCAGAUCAUGGGACUUUUCCUUAGGGUUUUUGCUUGUAGGAGUGCUACCGUACAUGAGGAAGCCAUGCUUGCUAUUGGAGCUCUUGCUUAUGCAACAGGAGCAGAUUUUGCAAAAUACAUGCCGGAGUUUUAUAGGUACUUGGAGAUGGGUCUUCAGAAUUUUGAGGAGUACCAGGUCUGUGCUGUGACAGUUGGUGUUGUGGGUGAUAUUUCCAGGGCACUGGAGGAAAAAAUUGUGCCUUACUGUGAUGGGAUUAUGACACAACUUCUCAAGAAUUUGUCGAGCAACCAGUUGCAUCGCUCCGUGAAGCCUCCCAUAUUUUCAUGCUUUGGUGACAUUGCAUUGGCAGUGGGAGAGUAUUUCGAAAAAUACCUAAUGUGGGCCAUGUCUGCACUUCAGAGCGCAGCAGAUUUGUCCACCCAUAUAGCAGGCGAUGAUGAACUGGUAGAGUACACAAAUUCCCUGAGAAACGGAAUCCUGGAGGCAUAUUCUGGGAUUUUCCAAGGAUUUAAGAACUCUCCCAAAACCCAGCUGUUGAUUCCCUAUGCACCUCACAUCCUCCAGUUCUUGGAUGGCAUAUACAUGGAGAAAGACAUGUGAGUUCUAUUAAAUAAAAGUCUACUGUUUUAAGCUUUUUCUCUAACUAAUGACUAUGUCUUCUAACGAGUGGUUAUUAACUUAAAUGUUUUUUAUUUCCUAUAGGGAUGAUAUGGUCAUGAAGACUGCCAUUGGAGUCCUUGGUGAUCUAGCUGAUACAUUAGGAAAUCAUGCUAGUUCUAUGAUACAGCAAUCUGUAUCAAGCAAAGACUUUUUGAAUGAAUGCUUGUCUUCAGAAGACCUUCUGGUUAAAGAAUCUGCUCAAUGGGCCAAGUUGGCCAUUAGUCGUGCCAUUUCUGUUUGAGGGUGUUGCCAUUCGGCAUUUUUUAUUUUCUUUCGGAAAUCCAUGCAACCUGGUGUGUUUAAGUCGAGGUCUGAGAUUGCAUGUGUCAAGUCAUCGCCAUUGUCAAGGCAACUGAAAGUUUCUAGUCUUCACGUUGUCACUAACUCUUGCAUCAUCGUCAUGGGGUCGGAUUCUUAUGUCAUUCAUGAAGUGGAUUGGGAUGGUUUCAGAGAAUCAAACUUUUUAUCUCCUUGGUUAAGUCAUCCCGAUUGUCAAGACAAAUAAAGUCACUAGUCUUCACGUUGUCAUUAACUCUUGCAUCAUCAUGGAGUCGGGUUCCAAUUUCAUUCAUGAAAUAGGGGGAAUCUUUCAAAACUCGAACGGUUCAAAGGGGGAGGAAUCAGCAACCGUAACAUGUCUGAUUCAAUAACUAGUCAGGUACCUCGGCCACUUGCUGUAUUACCGCUCUGCUUGUGAUUUGUCAAUUUAAGGUCCAUUGGGAUGAAUGGCUGAGGAUGUGGUUCAAGUGCGGCAAUACUUCAAAGACAUAUCUCAUGUACUGUAUUUCACCAUUGUCUCACCCAGUUUUGGUUCCCUAGUGUUCUGCCACAUAUUUUGUCAAGUACACAUCAGUUGGGUUUCAUUUAACCAUCGCCGCUUCUUUUUUUAUAUUAAUGGGGUUCGGUCCUUUUGGUACAUAUAAAUGGAGUUUGGUGGUUAUCCACAUGCUGCAUUUUUCUUUGUGGGGGAGGGGGGAGCAUUCCAUCCUGCAUCCCAUCAUUGUUCUUUUGGUUUGCGUUUCUUUUUGGGUUCGUUGAUUUGAAUUUUACCAAAUUCUGGAGUCAGUUUGUUCAAGUAUCAUGCAUUCAUUCAUAAAUUUCCUUUAUUUUCCCUUUAUAUGCAAUAUAAAUUAUAUUAUAUUAUUUUUUAUAGAUUAAGGGAUAAAUAUCAGAAUUAUAAUGAGUUUUAGUCCGAAAUGUAAUUUGAUGCAUGGUCUUUAAUUUAGUGCAAUUUUACGUAUAAAAUUUUAAUUGUGUAUACCUUUAAAAAUCUAAAUACAUUAAAUUAUUUAUAUAUUGAAUUAAUAUAGUUAUAUGUAUAUACAAUAUGUUAACAUAAAAUGAUGUUAUAUCGAUAAUUAUGAUAGUGAUUUCUGAAAAUUAAAUCAUAUCAAUACUUAAUGUAAAUUAUACAAAAUUAAAGUUUAUGUAUAAUAUUACACAUUGAUAGUUUACAUGUAAUUUUAAAUUUUAUUCCUGAAUUUUAUAGAUAAAAUUACCAACUGCAUUACCUAAAUCUUUGAUUCGAUUAAUAUUUUUAUAAUAAUAUAUAUAAUUGAGGUUAAAUAAGACAUUCUAUAAAAUAACUAUUUAAAUGGGAUAGGAUCAAUUUGAAGUUUAUGAAAAUAUGUUCUAAGAGGACAAGAUUGGAUAACUUUGAAUAAAAUAAUCGUACAGAUUUUGUAAAGAACUUUUCCUUUUAUAGUUAAUAAAAUCUGUCUUAAUAAUGGUAUUACAACGAAUUAUUAACCAAAGUUUACGCCAACCACAAAAUAUAAAUGAAAAAAGAUAAGAGCUGAACCAGAAAGGGUUAUUAACCAUCUAUUUAAAUAUAUUAUAUUCUUUAUUUUUGCAAAUCUUUUCUUGGAUAUUAUCAAGUGGUCCAUGGUAAUAUAUAUAUAUAUCCAUGCUUAUUCACCUAUAGUUUUAUUUUUGUUUUUCUAUACCAUAAUUAAAAGAUGCCUAAUUCUUUUUAGCUGUCAAGUGGAGGAUGGUUCAAAUGUAUGUUUUUCAAUUUAUUAUAAUAGUAAUGAUAUCAUUUGUACUAAACAAGGUAUAAUUUUAUUUAUAAACCCUUCUAACUUUUAAAUCCAAUAAAAGAGUAUACUUAUAAACACUCAAAUUUUGAAUACGAAUAAUAAAAUAAAUAUGAAGAAUGUCAAAAAAAAAUAUAAAUUCUUUAUUAAAAAAUCUCUUACAUUAUUUUUAAGAAAAUAUCGGAGUUACAAUUCAAGCCGCUGGUUUUAUUAAAUGAUAUUAUCUAGAUUAUUAAAUAUAAGUUAGAGGUUUGGAAAUUAAGAUAAUCCUAAAUUCAAAUUAUCAUUUUAAUAAAAUAGUUAGGGAAGUAAAAUACAUUAUCGUAAUACAUUUGAAAUAAAAUAAAUUCAAAAACUAAUUCCUUUUCAAAAAGUAAUUUAAAAAUUAUAUUGUUUGUAUAAAUUAUUGAGUCCAGCUCCAAAUCCGCGUCUCCUUCUCGUUCAUCCUUUUUUGCGUUUUCUCUCUCCAAUUAUUACGUCUUAUUCAGCCGCUCUUCUCCGAUCGGUGAAAGGUAAAGCUUGCAUCUGAAUUUUAAGCUUAUUUUGUUAAAUUCCCCUCUACAAAUUUCAUGUUAAUUUGAAAUUAGGGUUUCUAAUUGUGAUUUUGGAUAUUUGAUAUUGAAUGCAUUGAUUCGCUUUCUGUUUAUUUGUAAUACUAAUUCAAGUGUUAUAUUCAUUUCCUUCCCAAGAUUUGAAUGAUCGAAUUUUUAAGUGUUGACUUUAUUUAAUUUAAAUCUACUUCGAUCUAGGUUUAUCUUUGGUUUUAUCUGUUACAUUUCAGAUUUUAAGUUUUUAAUAUCCAAUUGGCACAAUUGAUCUUUAAUAUUCAAGUGUUCAUUUCAGCUGCUAGGUAAGUAGAAAUGACAAUAGGGUUUUCUUGGACCGAUUUGAUUUUUUCAUUUAUUUUUUUAACUACAUAUUGGUUUUAUUCUUGUUAUUGUCAUUUACUCUUUUCGAUGAAUUGUAAGGUAACAGUAUGCGUUUCCUUUUUAUUUAUUUUAUUUUUGGUACCUUUUAUGUUUUUCUGGAAUGGGGUUUUAGAAUAUCUACCUUAUUUACCUCUGACUUACUGUUUAUCUCAUUUAUUGAAUCAUUGAUGCUUUCAGAAAUAUUAUGGCUAUGGAGGUUACGCAGGUGCUUCUGAAUGCACAAUCAAUAGAUGGAGCUGUGCGAAAAAAUGCAGAAGAUAGCUUGAAACAGUUUCAGGAGCAAAACCUUCCUGUUUUUUUGGUCUCGCUUUCUGGGGAGUUGGCAAACGAGGAGAAGCCUGUUGAAACACGUAAAUUAGCUGGUUUGGUACUUAAGAAUGCAUUGGAUGCCAAGGAACAACACAGGAAGUUUGAGCUUGUUCAAAGAUGGUUGUCAUUGGAUGGCAAUGCAAAAAGCCAGAUUAAGGCAUGCUUGCUGACGACUUUGACAUCUCCGGUAUCGGAUGCUCGUUCAACUGCAUCUCAAGUCAUUGCAAAGGUUGCUGGCAUUGAGUUGCCACAUAAACAGUGGCCUGAGUUAAUAGGUUCACUUUUAUCAAAUGUUCAUCAGCUACCAGCUCAAGCUAAGCAAGCCACUUUGGAGACGCUUGGAUAUUUGUGUGAGGAGGUGUCCCCUGAUGUUAUCGAUCAAGAUCAAGUAAAUAAAAUUCUUACAGCUGUAGUUCAAGGCAUGAGUUCAUCGGAGGGAAACACUGAUGUGAGGCUUGCUGCAACCAGAGCACUUUACAAUGCAUUGGGCUUUGCGCAAGCAAAUUUCAGCAAUGACAUGGAGCGUGAUUAUAUCAUGAGAGUUGUCUGUGAGGCAACGCUGUCCCCAGAAGUGAGGAUAAGACAAGCUGCUUUCGAAUGUUUGGUAUCCAUUUCAUCAACUUAUUAUGAAAAAUUAGCUCCAUAUAUUCAAGAUAUUUUCAACAUUACAGCAAAGGCUGUGAGGGAAGAUGAGGAACCUGUUGCUCUUCAAGCCAUUGAGUUUUGGAGCUCAAUAUGUGAUGAGGAGAUAGAUAUUUUGGAAGAAUAUGGAGGUGAUUUCACUGGUGACUCAGAUAUUCCUUGCUUUUAUUUUAUCAAGCAGGCGCUCCCUGCCCUCGUUCCUAUGCUGUUGGAGACACUAUUGAAGCAGGAGGAGGAUCAGGAUCAGGAUGAAGGGGCUUGGAAUAUUGCAAUGGCUGGUGGAACAUGUCUUGGUUUGGUUGCACGGACUGUUGGAGAUGAUAUAGUACCUCUUGUUGUGCCAUUUAUUGAGGAAAAUAUUUCAAAACCGGAUUGGAGGCAGCGGGAGGCAGCAACUUAUGCCUUUGGUUCAAUCUUGGAGGGCCCUUCUCCAGAAAAGUUAAUACCCCUUGUGAAUGUUGCCCUUACUUUUAUGCUCAGUGCUUUGACAAAGGACCCCAAUAGCCAUGUCAAAGACACAACAGCCUGGACCCUGGGACGUAUCUUUGAAUUUCUUCAUGGUUCAGUUGUUGAUUCUCCCAUCAUCAGUCAAGCAAAUUGCCAACAGAUUAUUACAGUUCUGCUACAGAGCAUGAAGGACACUCCAAAUGUUGCUGAGAAGGCCUGUGGUGCUCUCUAUUUUCUUGCUCAAGGUUAUGAGG
rnacentral:lncRNA from 1 species